rnacentral:rRNA from 1 species
UGGGGAAUAUUGGGCAAUGGGCGAAAGCCUGACCCAGCAACGCCGCGUGAGGGAAGAAGGCCUUCGGGUUGUAAACCUCUGUCCUUGGUGACGAAAAAAAUGACGGUAGCCAAGGAGGAAGCCCCGGCUAACUACGUGCCAGCAGCCGCGGUAAUACGUAGGGGGAGAGCGUUGUCCGGAAUUACUGGGCGUAAAGGGUGCGUAGGUGGCCUUUUAAGUUGGAUGUGAAAUACCCGGGCUUAACUUGGGGGGUGCAUCUAAUACUGGAGGGCUAGAGUGCAGGAGAGGGAAGCGGAAUUCCUAGUGUAGCGGUGAAAUGCGUAGAUAUUAGGAGGAACACCAGUGGCGAAGGCGGCUUUCUGGACUGUAACUGACACUAAGGCACGAAAGCGUGGGGAGCAAACAG